ACGGGGCUAAACCAUGCACCGAAGCUGCGGCAGCGACGCUUAUGCGUUGUUGGGUAGGGGAGCGUUCUGUAAGCCUGCGAAGGUGUACUGUGAGGUAUGCUGGAGGUAUCAGAAGUGCGAAUGCUGACAUAAGUAACGAUAAAGCGGGUGAAAAGCCCGCUCGCCGGAAGACCAAGGGUUCCUGUCCAACGUUAAUCGGGGCAGGGUGAGUCGACCCCUAAGGCGAGGCCGAAAGGCGUAGUCGAUGGGAAACAGGUUAAUAUUCCUGUACUUGGUGUUACUGCGAAGGGGGGACGGAGAAGGCUAUGUUGGCCGGGCGACGGUUGUCCCGGUUUAAGCGUGUAGGCUGGUUUUCCAGGCAAAUCCGGAAAAUCAAGGCUGAGGCGUGAUGACGAGGCACUACGGUGCUGAAGCAACAAAUGCCCUGCUUCCAGGAAAAGCCUCUAAGCAUCAGGUAACAUCAAAUCGUACCCCA
rnacentral:rRNA from 1 species